rnacentral:rRNA from 1 species
AUUGAACGCUGGCGGAAUGCUUUACACAUGCAAGUCGAACGGUGGAGGGGGCAACCCCUCGAGAGUGGCGAACGGGUGAGUAAUAUAUCGGAACGUGCCCAGUCGUGGGGGAUAACGUAGCGAAAGUUACGCUAAUACCGCAUACGAUCUAAGGAUGAAAGCGGGGGAUCGCAAGACCUCGCGCGAUUGGAGCGGCCGAUAUCAGAUUAGGUAGUUGGUGGGGUAAAGGCUCACCAAGCCAACGAUCUGUAGCUGGUCUGAGAGGACGACCAGCCACACUGGAACUGAGACACGGUCCAGACUCCUACGGGAGGCAGCAGUGGGGAAUUUUGGACAAUGGACGCAAGUCUGAUUCAGCCAUUCCGCGUGCAGGAUGAAGGCCCUCGGGUUGUAAACUGCUUUUGUACGGAACGAAAAGGUCUCUCUUAAUACGGGGGACUCAUGACGGUACCGUAAGAAUAAGCACCGGCUAACUACGUGCCAGCCGCCGCAGUAAUAC